GGGGCCCAUCUUUCACCCGACCCUGCCUCCGGUCAUUUUACUAUAACAAGAAAAGACUUCAGGGCUAUGGAUCAGCUACAUGUGGCCUCUACUGCCUGUAUGUAGGCAGCAUGCUGGCUUGUGGAUUCUCGCUCCGAGAGUGCACUCAGAGAUUUUCGUCAACGAACUUCACACUGAACGACAAGCUGGUACCCGUCCUUGUACGGAAGCAAUUCCCAAGAAAGACAGACAACAUGUCAUGUUGCAGUGUACUUUGACACAAUAAAAUUGUAUUUAUUUCCAUGUCGUUACAGGCACAAUCUUAUAUAUAUAAAAAAAAACAGCAUUACAACAACAACAGCCAGGUAGGGCAACAUAUGCAUAAAAACUGUCUACAUCUUUCCAUUGGAUGCGUACCCAAAGGGUAACGUGUGGAUACCAUCCUCACAAAUGAAACGCUUUGUGUCUAGGGGAUUUAAAGCUACUUUCGUAACACAUACACUUUUAUUUAUAUUUUCCUUGCGCACAAUGAGGUUCUGACAAACUUUGUACACGUCACCAAGCUUAAGCGAGUCUAUGUACAUUGAAUAAUGCAACUUCUGGGCUUCACAUUGUUUCACCCCCUUAGCACGAUUGUAUCGUCUUUUACUAUGGAGGUCUAGUGCAUAGAGCUUUGGUUUCAGGCAACAGAACCCUAGGAUGUGGUCGUGGGGCAUUUCGUUCUUAAAUUUUCCUAGCACCAUCUUGUUUUUCGUAGAAUACAUCGAGUCAUCACAAGAAUGACCAGAUGUAUCAAGGUGGGUAUCGGCGAGCUCCGCAAGGGCCUUCUCAUCGCUCAGCAUCACGAUAUAAGAAUCUGUGUCCAUAUACAAGAGCCUUGUGUCCGGGGCUACCCAAAGCAAGUUGUUAUAAUAAAAGUCAUACAUCAUGACUUUAGACAGCUCGAGAAUAGUGAACCCCAGGUACAGAGGCUGUCGCAUACGGACUAUCGAUUGAGCGAACUGAAAUAAGACUACGUUAGAGCUUAGAGCCCUGAAUUGUUUGAGGUUCGGUUUACGCAAGAAUCUCAACACUUGCUCCUCGGAAGUUGCUAAGCGGCAGUCGACGAACUUUCGUACAUUCAUACAUGUUUUCCCAUAUACGGAGUUAAUUAAACACUUGUACAGGUUAUGUUCGAAGGUAUUGGUUGCCUGCUUGCGUAGUUCAUGAUGGAAGUCAACAUAGGAUCGCAGGAAUGGUUUUUGCUUGAACCUGAGCACCCGGUGAAUUUUCUCGAGCCGAAGACCCAACUGUAGGUACAACUUUAGACUGCGAUAAUGAAGAAAAUACUUCUUCUUGUCAAGCAAUGUAAGGAGUAAUUUCGGUUCUAUAUCAUGCUGUGGGAGGUUAAAUUUUUUCAUCAGGUCUUUCUGAUAAUCCGAAAGCAACUCAUACGGGACGCUCAUUUUUUCGGGCGCUAGCGGUAAAUCUUUAUGUCAUUCGUGGAGCUCUUGUACGUAGGCCAGGUCUACCUCUAAAAAAUAACCAACGUCUGUAUAAUCUGCAACAAGGGUUACAUCUAAACCUGCAACCUCUUCGGGUGACGGCCAUUCAAAGCCUCCGAAUGGGAGUGGUUCACGCAUCACUGUGCCAUAGAGUCCAUUUAUGUCCAUGUAAUGAAUUAUGGUCUUUGGUUUUUCGGGAUCGUACUGCUCUGUCCCUGGAACAUUUGCAGUGGCCAUUCGCGUUGAACACUGGGUCAUACCACCACGCAGACCCCGUUCAAUUAACAGAUAGGCAUCGGGAUCGUGGAUUAAAUCCAGAUUAAUCCGGCUCAUUUUUAGUGCACAAGACAUGCUUAGCCCUGGGAGUGACACGAAAUGAAGUGGUUCAAUUUUGUGCGUCUCCAACGCCCAUAUUCGGAAGUUUUGAAACACGUCUGCCAGAAGCAAUGCGUCCGUCAGAAGGUACAAAUCCGAGUACUCGCCCAGGCUCUUCAGUUGAAAUUUUUCAAACACAUUUUGCGCAUGGCGGUAAUCUUCCUCGCUCACUUCUGAUCCGUUCAGUUGGUUAAAGAACUGGUCACAUGAUGGCAAACAGGGCUCGUCGUAACGUUCAAAAGAGGUAACGUAGUUAUAACAGAAAACCCCUUUACGUACAACCAACCUGAAGUAGUCCUCCUCUGCGAAAAACUGACACAGACACCUGAAGUUAGAUUCACCUUUGUCACAUAGAUUUUUCGUCAAUGUGUCGAGACUAGCAUUGAGGAAGCUUAACGAGUCUAUGAAGCGGAACACACCAAUGUCUAUAGCCUUAAACUUUUGACAACUGGAGGCUAUCACUCUGAUGUCUGUCUUCCGAAGCAGGUGCAGAUGAGCUACUAUGAAUCCGAGGUCAUAAUUGGCAUUAUGUGCAAUGAUGGGCACUUUCCGCGGUAUCCGCAGUUUCAGAUUACAUCCCUGACACAAUGACUGGCGAAAUUCUCCACUUACGUGAUCAUGGUCUCGCACUUUCUGCUUCUUAGUGAAUGGUUCUUUACAUAUGUUACAGUGAGUGGCUUCAGAAUGUUCGAGUUCGUCUCCUGGGGUCAUUUGCAAGGGCACAGUCUCGUGCAACAUCGCAUACAGCUCAUCAUGCAAAUUACGCAAUAGUUCCAUGAAAACGGAAACGCAGUCUGCACCACGGUAAAUAUGUUUCUUCAAGACAUACGAAUCGCACGAGCGUAUGACGAGGAGACAGAAGGAUGAAGGGAUGUGUUCCUCGUAGACAUUCCCGCCUCCCGAACACGGUGAUAGUACACUCUCAAAGUCGUCUACACAGUAGAAGGGAACUUCCGACAUCAAAUGCUCUCCGGCAAACGACAGUGUCUCACCCUUCUUUGGAAAAAUAGUCUUGGACACUUUUUGUUGUUUACACAUUAGUAGAUGAUCGGCGAGUACACCCGGGGCUGUGAAACCCAUCGUACACCGUUUGCAGUGAAAAUAACCAGGUGGUGUGAACAAAGCAUUGAAAUUAGUAAUGAGUACAAAAUGGAAGUCAAUCAGCAGUAGGUCGACAUGCUUCUUGCACUGGUCGUCGACAACCUUAAUCGGGUAAACAUAUUUUUCAUCUUUGUCAUAACCGUACACGUUAAUGCUCAUAUCGUUCUGCUUCUCAAACAUUUCUACAUCUUUCGGGAACACUACAGGAAAUGUCUGUGGAAAUACAUAUUGAGACAGGUAUGACCUGUAGGAUGAAGCUCUGCGUCUGUAAGAACCCUUUGCAGGAUGUAGACCGGCAAGUACGCAAAAUGCGAAACACAUGUUCUGUUCACCAUCCUCGUGAAGGUCGACACUCAGAAGACACCGACACUUUUUUUUCAACUCGUUUGGCAAUUCAAAGUCGGUACAUCCAAUGAGCUGUGGUGCGAGACGACCGACAUGAAGAAUGCAGGCGUGAAUUCGAAAUAAGAAAAAUCCGGAUCCUUGCAUUUCAAGCUUUUCUAAAUUGUUGGUGACUUCAGUGCCUACUUCAAUGACAGCACGUUCUACGUCUCGUUCCGACCACAGCGUAUGCACACUCGAAGGAAUAAAUUGAGUGACAAAUAUGAUCUCAUCCUCAGGCGUAUGUCGACCGAGUUCCGCCUUCAGCAAAACAUAAAAGCGUAACGGAAAUCCGAAAUGUCGAAGUACACUGGCAAGGUAGCGUCCGUUUUCAUGAAAGAAUGUGCUGACAUCCUGCCCGUCGUCGUCUCUGUCAUGUAGAUGAAGCUCAUAGCGGUUGGUAUAGUUGCGGAGCGUACAGAGUGUCUCACAAAAUGGGAUACAGGGUGUUGCAAGGUUAGGAACGUUAGCCAGAUGAAUUUGAAGUCCCAGCGCUGUAGUGUAGUGCUGCCGAUCGGCCGGAGGACAAAGGUGGCAUGUAACCAUUUCUUUUUAUUUUUUUACUCGGAUUGACCGAACACGAUGUCUGGCGAAAGAAGACGUUUCCCGUCUUUUCCAACUCGCUCUUUCUUCUCCAUCCAGAGUCCGCUCGUGUUCCUCAUGUCUUCGAUGUCUUGAGUGCCUAGUUUAUGAAACCGAGCUGGAAGGAACACCUUUACGUGCUCGUGAUCCUUCAUAAUUUCUACGUAGACCGCCUCGCCAUACCUCGUUUCAAUUUUGUUAACAUCAACCACAUCAUACUUGAUGUUUUUAGGAAUUGUCGCCAUUUUUUGAAACUCUCCACAUUUCUUUAGCUUGUCAAGUUUAUGCAAGAUCGACGAAGACAUGAUGCUUACUUGUACACUGAUGCAAUGAUGACGACGAUGAUCCUUCGGACACGUUGGACCGGCUGAAAACAAAAGGAGCACAUGUUAGAACACUGCAAAAUAUUUCAUCAUUCUGAACACCAUACCUCCUCAGAAGGAGGUUCGAGAGUGAAGGAGCUGAGCGUCAGACAGUUCUUAUAUAAGAAGUUGCCAGCAUGGCAACCUUGAGGAGUCUUCUUUUUUUUUUUACAUCGUCAACUCUGCAGUCGAACCUACCUUUGCAGUUUGCUUUUUUUUCCUGAACUUUGCAAGCACGGACUUGUUUAUCUAACGAAACGUAUCUUGACCAGACUUCAUUCCCUUGCACGAAAUGAUGGUGAUAGCACCUUUUAGGUUCGUGACGCCUGCCUCGGUGUCAAUUUCAGGGGCUAGUCAAAGUGGGAAAUCCACCUUCGUGGCACGACUAAUUAAACACAGAGCUGUCCUCUUUGACAAACCGUUCAAGCAAAUAUGGUAUAUCUACCUUUAUAAGCAGCCGGUAUUCGAUACCCUUCCUCAAGUAAAUUUCAGUCAAGACAUCCCUGCAGAUCCGGAGAAUUAUAGCCACUCAUUAUUUAUAUUUGACGACUGUUUAGCCGACCGGCAAAGACUCAAAGAAAUCUGCAAAUUUUAUAUCGCCGGGUGUCACCACCUGUCAAUCACGGCUGUGUUCAUCUCGCAAUACCUGUUCGUCAACGACCCUUUGUAUCGCACAAUACAAUUCAAUAGGACGGCUCUCGUUUUAUUUCGUUCACCACGCACUACAGACCAGCUGCGUAUGCUGUCCAGGCAGAUUUUCGGGCGAAAUGAUUUGUUGCCCACGAUAUAUAAAGAUGCCUGUCAGAAACCAUACUCAUACUUAGUUAUCGACUUGUCUCAACAGAGCAACGAUCACUAUAAGGUGUGGACCAACAUUUUCCCGGAUGAUCACAGACAGAUCGUAUACAGGUCAUGAAAAGGCUUAACAAACACAUUCGUUUCCUUCGUAUGAUCGCUGAAGCAAAGACAGGGGAAGAUCGUUACAACCUGAUUCAACAUGCCAGCAGGGAACAGCUACACUCUUAGAAAUAGGUCUUCUAUCGUGCCGUCAAGAGCUGCCGUGUCUUCUAGAUUCACGCUCAAGGCCGAAGUUUUAGACGGCAGAUGCCCACGUGACCCGGGAGAAAAAAAAAUACCAUAAAAAAUUGUCUUGCUUUUUUUGGCGCGUACGCCGUGUAGAAGACACGCUUAUCACGUGACCAGGAAUCGGACGUCGUGAAGCAUAUUUCGUGUUGUCUAAAUUUUUGCCGUGGUUUCUAUGGGCUCGGAGUGAUCACCUGACCGGCUUCGAGGACCGGAAUCACGUGAACUAUGCGACGGGGCCAGACAUGCUGGUGGCGCGGCACUGGUCACACCUCUUCUUCGGUGCCUUGCCGCCAGCGUUUCCUUGCUUUGCUGAUUCUGGGAUUCUAUUACAGGUAAAACACCUCCGUUUAAUAAAUUUUAUUGCGAUAACUAUGCUAGCAGCACUACUAUUGUAGUGGCUACCUGUUAUUUCCCCACGCUUCUAACGAGCAUUUGGAAGGUGCAGGUGCGAAUGGAAGUGUCAUGGCGGUCGUGGCAAAAUGUCAACGAAAGUUAUCUGGUGAUGCUUGAGAAGUUGAGUUGUAAAGGUAUUCGAGAGACGCUAAUGUGUUAUCAGCUGUAUCCGGUUUGUAGCUCUGUUAGAAUUGCCUCUAAACGUGUACUUCACGAGCGCUAACGCUUGUGUAUGGCGCAGGAUGUUUUUGUCAUUCGGGGGCUCGUUCCGGCCGUGGUUUGAGUAACCAUUCUCUGUCUCAACUGGCCGCAGUGGGUAUGGACGUCACCAACGAAGACUUCACUGGUGUUCAACGUGCCGCCUGGAGGGAAUGUGCGUGCGGUUCAUGCCGAAGACUGACAGAUAUUAGCCGGAACACGGCACAAGUGUUACCCGGAACAUGCGUCCAAUGCUAACAAUCACCUGUCGACCAUGACCGCAUUCAGUAAGUUACGCCUGGAAGCAGAAUUCCGAUUCGAGGCCAGGAUGGGAAGCAUGGAGGAAACGCUGCACAACGGGUGACAACUGCCAUAUCAACCGCCCCCACAAAGAGAUGUAGAGUCACUGCCACAAUUUCACAACUUUGCCGAAAUAAAGUCUUCAAUCCCCUUUGAAACAAA